AUUAUUCUAGAGUUUGAUCAUGGCUCAGGACGAACGCUGGCGGCGUGCCUAAUACAUGCAAGUCGAACGCUUCUUUCCUCCCGAGUGCUUGCACUCAAUUGGAAAGAGGAGUGGCGGACGGGUGAGUAACACGUGGGUAACCUACCCAUCAGAGGGGGAUAACACUUGGAAACAGGUGCUAAUACCGCAUAACAGUUUAUGCCGCAUGGCAUAAGAGUGAAAGGCGCUUUCGGGUGUCGCUGAUGGAUGGACCCGCGGUGCAUUAACUAGUUGGUGAGGUAACGGCUCACCAAGGCCACGAUGCAUAGCCGACCUGAGAGGGUGAUCGGCCACACUGGGACUGAGACACGGCCCAGACUCCUACGGGAGGCAGCAGUAGGGAAUCUUCGGCAAUGGACGAAAGUCUGACCGAGCAACGCCGCGUGAGUGAAGAAGGUUUUCGGAUCGUAAAACUCUGUUGUUAGAGAAGAACAAGGACGUUAGUAACUGAACGUCCCCUGACGGUAUCUAACCAGAAAGCCACGGCUAACUACGUGCCAGCAGCCGCGGUAAUACGUAGGGUGCAAGCGUUAAUCGGAAUUACUGGGCGUAAAGCGCACGCAGGCGGUUUCUUAAGUCUGAUGUGAAAGCCCCCGGCUCAACCGGGGAGGGUCAUUGGAAACUGGGAGACUUGAGUGCAGAAGAGGAGAGUGGAACUCCAUGUGUAGCGGUGAAAUGCGUAGAUAUAUGGAGGAACAUCAGUGGCGAAGGCGGCUCUCUGGUCUGUAACUGACGCUGAGGCUCGAAAGCGUGGGGAGCAAACAGGAUUAAAUACCCUGGUAGUCCACGCCGUAAACGAUGAGUGCUAAGUGUUGGAGGGUUUCCGCCCUUCAGUGCUGCAGCAAACGCAUUAAGCACUCCGCCUGGGGAGUACGACC
rnacentral:rRNA from 1 species